CGCGGCCACAUGUGUGGGGCUAGACCUGACGCUACUUAGUUCGGUGCAAAAAUCUUUUCACUUGUUGUCAACAACAAAACCAAAAAUGGAGGAUGGUCAACGGAAACCGACAAAUCUCCACGAUAGAAAGGGAAAAGCCGGUGAACACAAACGAUACUACAUGGGACGCCGACCAAAACCCAGGGGCAGGCAUGCCAGGGUGAAGCAAGUAAAGAAAGCUCCACUCAAUGAUUUGUCAAACAAAAAAGCUCCUGAUAAUGAAGGGAAAAUCAAUCAAUUGCUGGAAAGCUUGGAGGAGAUGAAUUCGGGAGCCUUGACCAUCAUGCACAAAAUAUCUCGGGAUCUGGAUCAAGAAAAGAAGAAGCUCAGUCAAACUCUCCAAGACAAGGAGGAGGAGACAUUAUGUCUUGAGGAGGUAAUGAAGAAAACUGUUCAGGAAAAUGAGCAAGUACUGGAAGAGAUCCAGCAUUUAAAAGCUGAAAAUGUCAAGCUGAAGCAGCGACUCAAACCUUACUAGCAGAUCUGAACCAGUCGGACGACUCCGAUCCACUCACCGAUAACGAAGCCCAGGUCCCUGUCAACCCUACAGAGGAUUCCAACUCACUUGCUGCUGCAGAAUGCACCAAAGAUUUAAUUGAGAUGAUCCAAUUUGUCGCUUCCAAUGAUGAUGAUUCACAAGACUCUGUCAACGCUGUGGCAUCGUUUAUGCGGAAGUAUCCAGCUAUGUCAUCGGAGGCACUGCGCCGAGCUGGCUUCGCAGCGUGGUGAGACAUCAGCAAAGACGGAAUGCCGGACUAUUAACAAGGACUGAAGUAUUCAACUGCAACAGAGACUCAUUGUAGACGCUGUGCACCUUCCACGCCGAUUUUAAUUGAAAUGAGUGCAGCAAUAGCUCUUCUACAGCACGGCAGUUGCUCUAAAUGCCGAACGUGAUAGUCGCACUGCAUCUGGGGUAAUGGGCCAGGUUAAAGCAAUUCAAGCAGUUCAAUGGACUUUCAGCACGAUCAAACCAAUCGGGCUUAACAGUCCUUCUGUUUUGAGGUGUGCGAUCACACCCCCACGCCAUCACACGCCUAAAUGCUUCCUGAGAAGUGGGAAUAAUCACACGCCUGAAUCCCUCAGUACCGCACACCUUGGCAUACAUAUACGGCAUAAUUAUACUUCAUAAUUUGUGAAAAAUAAAGUACGUCGGUGAAGAGAAUAUGGCUUUAUUGUAAACCAAGAUGAAUAUUUUGAAAAACAAUAUAUUGUUCAGCCCCAGCUUGGACCACAGAAUCACACACCUAGAAAAAUCACACGCUUACAAAAACCCAGGUGUGCAUUUUCUACACACCUGUGAUUUUUCAAAUCAGAAGGACUGGCUAAUUACACUCCCCGUGAUGUGGAUGCAAGAGAGGGUAUCGUGAGCAUGUGCAUUCCUAAAAUGUUUGCCCCAACUUAGAAUUGAAUUGAGUUCAGCACGGUAAUGGCACGGCGUUUAGAACAGUGCCGAGCCACUAGUACUGCCAUUCUGAACGACGAUAGUGCGGCUGCCCUGUCGCCCUUAAAGGAUGGUGCUGUGCUAAACUCAAUUCGCCGAGCCAAAUGAUUCUAAACGCCGUGCUACCGCUGCGCCAUCGCUGUGCCGAAUUCAAAAAGUCAAGUUAAUUGGGUUCGGCACUGCAGUAGCUCAGCGUAUAGAACGGGCCUACGGAAUCGCACAUCUGCAUGACAUUGAUAUGUCUUGCACCGGAGACUUGUUAUCUCAGACAAUUUUUAACAACACAAAGAAGGAAAAAGUCAAACCAACUUAUAUGGGCAUUACUGCUAUAAAGAUUCCUAAUUCCCAAAAGAUCAAAAACAAGAAGAUUGUAAUUUGUUUGAUUUUUUCCUUUCUUUCUUUCUUCUGUUUUUUAACAUGCAUGCGACUUUUCCUUGGAUCGACUGAUUCCUCAUUGUUCACCUCACCCUUACGCCAUUAGAAAUUGAAAAACACUUGUAUAAAGUCUUGCAAAUCUUGGAAUUUCUUCAUAUUUUUUGGUUACUUCCCAGCUUCCUGCCUGUACAGUCGACUCUCGUUAUUACAAACUUCUGGUUAUAACAAACAUAAAGCCUUGGUCCCGACUGUGCAUUUAUAUGCACAAUGAAUGGGACUAAUGUUCCUCUUAAAACAAAAUUCUGAUAUAACAAACAAUUUGGCUAGGUCCGAACGAGUUUGUUAUAACGAGACUCGACUGUAUUUGGAAAUAAAAUCAUUUGUACCAUUCAUUCCACCAGUGGAGUUUACAAUACACUGUACCAAGACUUGGUUUUGUAAAAUCUUGAUACCUCACAAAUAAAUGACCAACACUUGCAGUAUUUUGUUUAAUUUCCUACACAGUCUUGUGUAGACUUGCUUGCAUACCCAAACCUUAUCUAUUUUGUAUGUUUGUCUUAUAUUUUUCUGCCCGUUUUGUUUAGUACGUAACAUAAAAUAUUACUUGUAGAAGGAUACAUGUUUAUGUAAUCUAAAUAGUUUUAAUUAUUCUAGAAGUAAAUUUCAUAAUUAGCCCGUAUCUUUUAAAAAAUUUUCCAUGUUUUUAUCUUGUCAUAUGACAUCGAUUUUUAUUUGAAAUUUAUGAUUAUCACUUUUUUAGUAAAUAAAUUUAUGAAGUGAAAUUUCUGUUUGAUUUGCAUUAUUUGUUUUUAAUGUAGCAAAGUGAAGGAAUGAAUUAUAUUUUCUGGUGUCGCGAUCCAGUUGAGUGACGAGAAACCUUUCAAGAUUAGUCCAUAGAUAAGAUUGCAAUCAUAAACUCUAAAAUACCAUCAGGUUUUAAGUAAGAUUUGAGGCUUUGCAUGGUGGAGAUACAUGUACUAAUGAAUGAAAGGUUUUCGGAAACACCAUGUGGGAAUUAUUUCUCUAACUAAGAGAAUGGUUUUGAAAAGAACCAGAGGUAUAAACUCCAAAACAGAGUAACCUCAAGUUAUUUUCAGAACCAUUCUCCGAGUUUGAGAAAUUAUUUCCACAUGGUGUUUCUGCAAACCUUUCAUUCGUUCAUAAGGUUUUUAGCCCCAAAGAAUUUUUUAUUGUUUGUUUGUUCUCAUUAUUGAUAGUCAAGGCUUUUUUAAGGGUGUCCGCUUUUUCAUUUGCCUCUCGACAAUUAACAUAAGUUUACUAUUAAAGUUCUGCCUGAA